UUUCAUUGAAGUUUACAAAGCAUUACAUUUUGUUUAUAAAGAUCAAAAUAUUUUUCAUUUAUUACAUGCAAAAGCGCAAAAAUUAUGGCUCGAAUCCUUUAUUUCUUUUAUACUUUACUCAUCUUUGUUUCCCUAUUUAUGAUCGCAAUCAAUGGAAGCCUCCCAGAUGCUCCUCCAUGCCUAUUUACCCCUGAAUGUCCACCAGAUAUGUGUCCAACUGAUCUAACUCUGAAGUGCAUUAAUUUAACUUGUCAAUGCACUUCUGAGUACGAUAUAGAUUAAGUUGUCAAUUUCAAUGAAAAAAACAUAUGUAUUGUUAUAUUAUGCAACUAUGUUGUCAUCAUGAACUCAUAGAAGAAAUGGAAAACAAUAGUGUAAUCAUAAUUACCUACUAUAAUAAAUAAAGACACUUUACGAUCAUAUA